UACCUACGGGAGGCAGCAGUGGGGAAUAUUGCACAAUGGGGGAAACCCUGAUGCAGCGACGCCGCGUGAAGGAAGAAGUAUCUCGGUAUGUAAACUUCUAUCAGCAGGGAAGAAAAUGACGGUACCUGACCAAGAAGCCCCGGCUAACUACGUGCCAGCAGCCGCGGUAAUACGUAGGGGGCAAGCGUUAUCCGGAUUUACUGGGUGUAAAGGGAGCGUAGGCGGCGACGCAAGUCAGAAGUGAAAGCCCGGGGCUCAACUCCGGGACUGCUUUUGAAACUGCGUUGCUAGAUUGCGGGAGAGGC
rnacentral:rRNA from 1 species